rnacentral:rRNA from 1 species
AGAGUUUGAUCCUGGCUCAGGAUGAACGCUAGCGGCAGGCUUAAUACAUGCAAGUCGUGGGGCAGCAGGGGUAGCAAUACCCGCUGGCGACCGGCAAACGGGUGCGGAACACGUACGCAACCUUCCUUUAACUGGAGAAUAGCCCCUCGAAAGAGGGAUUAAUACUCCGUAACAUAUACAUGUGGCAUCACAAGUAUAUUAUAGCUCCGGCGGUUAAAGAUGGGCGUGCGCCUGAUUAGAUAGUUGGCGGGGUAACGGCCCACCAAGCCUGCGAUCAGUAACUGGUGUGAGAGCACGACCAGUCACACGGGCACUGAGACACGGGCCCGACUCCUACGGGAGGCAGCAGUAAGGAAUAUUGGUCAAUGGACGCAAGUCUGAACCAGCCAUGCCGCGUGGAGGAUGAAGGCCCUCUGGGUUGUAAACUUCUUUUAUAGGGGACGAAACCCUGGUAUUCUUACCAGAUUGACGGUACCCUAGGAAUAAGCACCGGCUAACUCCGUGCCAGCCGCCGCGGUAAUAC